UCACUUCCGCAUUCCCAGGAUACUUUGCGAAUUAAAGAUGGUGGCUUGCAUAACUACGACCGUGUCAAAAAAUAUUUUCUUAUACAUUUCUUGCGUAAUUGAUCCGAUAGCUGUCUUAAAUGUAAGUACAACACAAUGCCUAAAUGCUACGAGGACAGGGUGGUAGGGAAUGUAUGCUUUGGAAUCAACGCAUGUCUCCAACACGACUGCGUUGUAACGUUAGGAAAGCCUGAGGACCAGGCUGCUAGCUAACGUUGACAGUUUAACUUGUAUACCAUCCUUUAUUUUAAAGCGUAGGCCUACCAUUAAUUGUGUUGGUUGGCUAAGCCACACUUCCAUUGCAAAGUGCACAGCUUUCUGCACCAGCCUGAUUAAUUCCGAGUCAUGUAUAUGGUGUCAAAUCCGAUCCAAAAGUCGAAUGAGCACUAGAUGGCGCGCGCGAGCAAGAUGAAACCUCAUUGCGUGAGCAAACGCUUCAGUCGAGAGAAAAGAAAUGUGGUCGAGCGAGCAGAGGACGGGUCAGGGGGCGUAGACCGGUGUGGUGAUCGCAAAUUACAUUUGAGAGUUUACGAAUUAAGCUGAUGCCCGACUGAAAACCUGGAGAUCUUCACUGGUUCUGAGAGGUGACAUGGCCACAAACAGUACCUGGGACACCUUCUAGGGCUACCGUUUUCUUGAGGACAGCCAGAGGGUGGUCAAGACAUCGGCCGCAACGUCAUUUUUUUUGUGUGCCAGCUCUGCUGCACCUGGGAGUUAAAGUAAAAAGCUGAGGGAUGGGGCUGGAGAAAUGUAACCACUCUCAAAUUCAUAGACACCGUUAUGGAUGCAAGGACUGACCAUCGCGCCGCCUCCUAAAACCACCAUAAGAGGAGAUGACCCAAAGUUCCUUGCCUAAGACCUCCAAUGGGUUUUGAGAAGGAAGUGAAGAGUUGAGCAAAGAUUCAUUGGGACAGGGCUUAUGUCAUUGUUUUAGGUGGAAUCUUAUGUCAAAUGAUACAUUUAUUCUGUUCGCACUUACUGUAAAUCUUUGUUCUACUUUGUGCUCUUUCCUCAGAUGGCUCUGGCUUGCUGAUUAACAUCUGCUCUGAUGAGACUCCCUAUGCAAUUUGACUCUAUUACUGACUAUACAAUAAAACAAUGUCAACUAUAGAUAAUA